AAACCAACAAACCAUUGUGGACACACCUAAAUUUGUGAUUGUAAACAGAGAACAAAGUCCAACUCUAAUCAACUCCUGUAACCGCUUACUCUGAAAUAUACCUUUGCAGAGGAGCAAAAAUAACUAUUCCAUCUCUCCCGAUCACCAUGGUUUAUAAAACUGUUACAGUUGCAUUGUUCUUCACAUUUGCCACAUGGACACAGUAUGACCUAAAGGAUGAAACAACAAAACCAAGGAAGGUUAAUUUCCUGCUAAACACAGAAAUAUGGUCCCAGAGACAUGAAAACAUAGAUUCAAUUAAGAUAUUCAUGGAACAGCAGUGGGUUACUGUUGAGAUUAAACAAGAACCCAAAUGGGUUACUGUUGAGAUUA